AUUGAACGCUGGCGGCAUGCCUAACACAUGCAAGUCGAACGGAAACGAUGGAAGCUUGCUUCCAGGCGUCGAGUGGCGGACGGGUGAGUAAUACUUAGGAAUCUGCCCAUUAGUGGGGGACAACUCGGGGAAACUCGAGCUAAUACCGCAUACGCCCUACGGGGGAAAGCGGAGGACCUUUCGGGGCUUCGCGCUAAUGGAUGAGCCUAAGUCGGAUUAGCUUGUUGGUGAGGUAAAGGCUCACCAAGGCGACGAUCCGUAGCUGGUCUGAGAGGACGAUCAGCCACACUGGGACUGAGACACGGCCCAGACUCCUACGGGAGGCAGCAGUGGGGAAUAUUGGACAAUGGGGGAAACCCUGAUCCAGCAAUGCCGCGUGUGUGAAGAAGGCCUGCGGGUUGUAAAGCACUUUCAGUAGAGAAGAAAAGCCUAUGGAUAAUACCCGUGGGUCUUGACGUUACCUACAGAAGAGGCUCCGGCUAACUCCGUGCCAGCAGCCGCGGUAAUACGGAGGGAGCGAGCGUUAAUCGGAAUUACUGGGCGUAAAGCGCGCGUAGGCGGCUUUGUAAGUCGGAUGUGAAAGCCCUGGGCUUAACCUGGGAAUGGCAUUCGAUACUG
rnacentral:rRNA from 1 species